CUCUUCCAAGUCGUUGUUUUCGAUUUUCUUCGAAUUCCAACAAAUUAUUACUAAGUAGGUGUAAAUUGUCAAUAUACAACGACACUUUAAUGGUUGAUAUCAAUUUGCAGCUUCAAGUUUUGGAGGCCUUCAAGGUUUUGCUGCAAAUUUCCAAGGGGUUCGUCAACGUUUUGGGGAAAAAUCAAAGGCUAAUUGUUUAAUUUGGGGAAACUACUUCAAAUUUUACUGCCACACUGUAAAAUCGAGAUAAAAAUCAGCUUAAACUUGCAAGUUCGUCUCUAAUUGCUGUCAAUUCGACCAUAAUUUCGUGAAGUCACUCCAAAGUUUCUCAAAGAUGGAGUCACCACUGUUGCAGCCUCGCCGCCAGCCACGACCACCUGCCGCCGCGUGCACCAGCCAUUGCCGCCGGCCAGCCUUCCCUUGAAUCUUUAUUUGGCGGAGAAUUCUCCCUAGGUGACUUUUGAAAGUGUUAAAGUGGCCUAUUAGUUUGUCUACACAAGUCUCUAAGGAUCAAUAAGCAUUGUCCAUCUGCAGGUUUAAAGAUGUUGCAUCAUUGGGAUCGGGAAUAGAGAGCUUGUAUUUAGUUUUGAUUUGCUAAGUUGACUUGGGUUUGUUUAAUUGGACUUUAAACUUGUUAGUUGAUCUUAUUUUCGUUGAUUGGUUUUGGGAUUAACUAUGUAAUCGAUUAUUUAUAAACCUAAAGUUAGUUUUAUGUUUUCCGCUGCAAAAUUCUGAAUAAGCCGUUACGUUUUCA